UACGUAGGGGGCUAGCGUUGUCCGGAAUCAUUGGGCGUAAAGCGCGUGUAGGCGGUUCGGUAAGUCCGCUGUGAAAGUCAGGGGCUCAACCCCUGAAUGCGGGUGGAUACUGCUGGGCUAGAGUCCGGAAGAGGCGAGUGGAAUUCCUGGUGUAGCGGUGAAAUGCGCAGAUAUCAGGAGGAACACCGAUGGCGAAAGCACUCUGCUGGGCCGACACUGACACUGAGAGAGAAAGCUAGGGGAGCGAAUGGG
rnacentral:rRNA from 1 species